CACUGGCCAGUUGCGAUGGGAAGAGAUUAUACUGCGGUGAGGCACCGUGGUCCGGCUAUCAAUUUCGGGUUAUGGACGCGGAUCCAGGAGAAAUGGGAAAGGCCCUUUCUGGCAACGGUAAUGACGUAUCCAUUUGUGACAACAUCCCAAGGGUGAGUCUGGUUUCUGGAAAUCUAGUCUGACCCUAUGGCAGCUAGGAUGGAGGUGACUUUGCCUGUGGUUAGAAAACAAAGAAUUUACUGAGUUACCUGAGUACCCUGUAUACCUGUGGGUCCCACCACCUCACUCAUAACAGGGCAUCACAGGACCUUGGUCAAGUCUCCAGAAAGCCCUCCCUGGGCCUGCAGCUGAAGGUGAGUUACUGUUGAGAGAUGGAGCUGUGAGGAACUAGUAGGCCAGUUGAAGACCCUCUGGAUUUGGAGAGGGGGAACUUGGGACAAGAAUCUCUUCUGAAGGUCAACCUAGGUUCCGAGACCUCUUGCCAGAGCAAAGACUCCUAAGUAACAGGAAAUAGCAUCCUCCCCGGGCCAGAAGCUGAGCAAGACUCAACUUGGUGUCACCCCUUCCAGGGACCCUCCAUGGUAAGGGAAGGGUUGGUCCCAAGUUUCAGAGAGAUGGA